rnacentral:rRNA from 1 species
CCAGGAAUCUUGGGCAAUGGGCGAAAGCCUGACCCAGCAACACCGUGUGAGCGAUGAAGGCCUUCGGGUCGUAAAGCUCUGUUGAUAGGGACGAAGGGCGAAGGGUUAAUAGCCCCUAGCCUGACGGUACCUUUCGAGGAAGCCCCGGCUAACUACGUGCCAGCAGCCGCGGUAAUACGUAGGGGGCGAGCGUUGUCCGGAAUUAUUGGGCGUAAAGAGCGUGUAGGCGGUUCGGUAAGUCUGUCGUGAAAACCUGAGGCUCAACCUCGGGCGUGCGAUGGAUACUGCCGGGCUAGAGGAUGGUAGAGGCGAGUGGAAUUCCCGGUGUAGCGGUGAAAUGCGCAGAUAUCGGGAGGAACACCAGUAGCGAAGGCGGCUCGCUGGGCCAUUCCUGACGCUGAGACGCGAAAGCUAGGGGAGCGAACAGGAUUAGAUACCCUGGUAGUCCUAGCCGUAAACGAUGGACACUAGGUGUGGGGGGAGUCGAAUCCCUCUGUGCCGCAGCUAACGCGUUAAGUGUCCCGCCUGGGGAGUACGGCCGCAAGGCUAA